rnacentral:rRNA from 1 species
AUUUGAAAUCUGGCUCUUUUAGAGUCCGAGUUGUAAUUUGCAGAGGGCGCUUUGGCUUUGGCAGCGGUCCAAGUUCCUUGGAACAGGACGUCACAGAGGGUGAGAAUCCCGUACGUGGUCGCUGGCUAUUGCCGUGUAAAGCCCCUUCGACGAGUCGAGUUGUUUGGGAAUGCAGCUCUAAAUGGGAGGUACAUUUCUUCUAAAGCUAAAUAUUGGCCAGAGACCGAUAGCGCACAAGUAGAGUGAUCGAAAGAUGAAAAGCACUUUGGAAAGAGAGUCAAACAGCACGUGAAAUUGUUGAAAGGGAAGCGCUUGCAGCCAGACUUGCUUACAGUUGCUCAUCCGGGUUUCUACCCGGUGCACUCUUCUGUAGGCAGGCCAGCAUCAGUUUGGGCGGUAGGAUAAAGGUCUCUGUCACGUACCUCCUUUCGGGGAGGCCUUAUAGGGGAGACGACAUACUACCAGCCUGGACUGAGGUCCGCGCAUCUGCUAGGAUGCUGGCGUAAUGGCUGUAAGCGGCCCGUCUUGAAACACGGACCAAGGAGUCUAACAUCUAUGCGAGUGUUUGGGUGUCAAGCCCGAGCGCGUAAUGAAAGUGAACGGAGGUGGGAACGCGCAAGGUUGCACCAUCGACCGAUCCUGAUGUCUUCGGAAGGAUUUGAGUAAGAGCAUGGCUGUUGGGACCCGAAAGAUGGUGAACUAUGCUUGAAUAGGGUGAAGCCAGAAGAAAACUCUGCUGGAGGCUCGCAGCGGUUCUGACGUGCAAAUCGAUCGUC